UUAAUCUCAUUUUACUUGAUAUGGUAGAUUUUGAUUUGAUUCUGGGCAUGGAUUGGUUAUCCCCUUACCAUGCGGUCUUGGAUUUCUAUGCCAUAACUGUUACCUUAUUCAUUCUUGGUAUUCCGCCGGUGGUGUGGCAGGGCUCUUGUAGUCACACAUCGGUUGUGGUGAUCACUUUUGUUCGAGCCUAGAGGUUAGUGGCUAAAAGAUGUUUGGCGUACUUGGCUUGUGUUAGAGAUGUGAUUAGGGAGGGCCCUACAGUUGAUUCCACACCUACAGUCCGAGAGUUUGCAGAUAUGUUUCCUAUAGAUCUACCUGCCCUCCCUCCUUAUUGCGAUAUUGACUUCACCAUUGAUGUAGAGCCGGGUACUCAUCCUAUUUCCAUCCCACUGUAACGUAUGGACCCCAUAGAACUCAAAAAGUUUAGUAUUAUGCUUCAAGAUCUAUUGGAUAAGGGAUUUAUUUAUCCUAGUGUAUUGCCUUGGGGUGCCCCAAUACUGUUCGUUAAGAAGAAUGACGUUACUAUAUAGAUGUGGAUCGAUUACAAGCAGUUGAACAAGAUGACGGUGAAGAACCAUUACCCCAUGCUUAGGAUUGAUGACCUAUUUGACCAACUUCAGGGUGCUGUGGUAUUUUCUAAGAUUGAUUUGAGAUCCGGCUACCACCAGUUGAGGAUUAGGGCAGCGAACGUCCUUAAGACUGCAUUUAGGACUCGUUACGGCCAUUAUGAGUUCCUAGUGAUCUCUUUCGGGAUGACUAACGCCCCUAUCGCAUUAAUGGACUUGAUGACCCGGGUGUUUAGGCAGUACUUGGACUUAUUUUCCAUAGUCCUCAUUGAUGAAAUUUUAGUAUACUAGCGAAGACAGGACGAGCAUUAGUGGUAUUUGAAAGUAGUGCUCCAGACUUUGAAAGGUUAGUGGCUUUGUGCCAAAUUCUCAAAGUGCGAGUUUUAGCUUGAGUCCAUAGAAUUCUUGGGGCACGUGGUGUAUAAGGAUGGCAUUAUGGUAGAUCCGACAAAGAUUGAGGCUAUUCAUGAUUAGGCCAGGCCCAACUCUGUGACUGAGUUUUGUAUCUUCGUCAGAUUGGCAGGGUACUACAGGUGCUUUGUUGAGGGGUUUUCUACUAUAGCGGCACCUCUAACUCGGUUGACUCGCCAGGAUAACCCAUAUAUGUGGUCGGAGGAGUGUGAGAGGAGCUAUCUGAGGCUCAAGAAGUUGGUUACCACCGCUCAUAUAUUGACUCUUCUAGUUGAGGGUGAGGGAUUCACUGUUUAUUGUGAUGCAUCUAGCAUUGUUUUGGGUUACGUACUAAUGAAGUAGGGUUGGGUUAUUACUUAUGCAUCGCGACAACUUAAGCUGCACGAGCGCAACUACCCCACUUAUGACUUAGAGUUGGCGGUGGUAGUAUUUGUGCUUAAGAUUUGGAGGCACUACAUAUAUAGAGUUCGAUGCGAUAUUUACAUCGAUCACAGGAGCCUUUAGUACAUUAUAAGCCUGAUAGAUCUUCACUCGAGGCAGCGAUGGUGGAUUGAACUUUUGAAGUACUACGACCUCCCUAUUCUCUACCAUCCAAGCAAGGCGAAUAUAGUAGUGGACGCCUUUUGUCGAAAGACGGUGAGUGUGGGUAGUCAAUCCUUCCUUUCAACUAUGGAGCAACCAUUAGAUUGGGACAUCCAGUACUUAGCUAAGCAAAUGAUUCGAAUUAACAUCUCUGAUUCCCGUAGAUAUUAGUUUUUGUGAGAGAUCAUUCAACUUUAUUGGACUGGAUUUAUAGCUGUUAAUUUGAGGAUGGGGAGUUAGUUGCACUUCGAGAUCGGUUUUUGGGAGGUGACGCCGGUCUGGCUAACUUAGAUUCAGAUGUUGUUUUGAGGUUUGGUUGUCGUCUCUGUGUUCCAAGAGUUGGGGUUUUGAUUCAGAUGAUCCUUAUGAGGCCCAUGACUCUAGAUAUUCUAUCCAUCCAGGCACCGCUAACAUGUAUCGUGAUUUAAGAUAGCACUACUAGUGGAGCGGCAUGAGGAGAGAUAUUAUGGAUUAUAUAUCGCACUGCUUGAGUUGCCAGCUGGUUAAGGCUGAGCAUUUGAGGCCUGGUGGCGAGCUUUAGAGAUUACCCAUUCCUUAGUAGAAAUAGGAGAGGAUCACCAUAGAUUUCAUUGUGGGGUAUCCUCGCACUUUCCAUGGUCUUGAUAGUAUUUGGGUUAUCAUGGAUCAAUUGACCAAGGCAGCACACUUCCUUCCCGUUCUACUUCCUAAUGUUGAGAGUUAAGCCCGUAUCUACAUUCAGGAGGUGGUUCUCCUUCAUGGUGUGCCUGUUUAUAUCAUCUAAGACCGGGGCUCACAGUUCAUAUCUUGCUUUUGGAGGAAUUUUUAGGUGGAGUUGGGUACCUGUGUCAAUCUUAGCACAGCUUUCCACCUAUAGACUGAUGGUCAAUCAGAACGCACUAUACAGGUUCUGAAGGACAUGUUGUGGGAAUGUGUUAUGGAAUUUAGGGGUCAAUGGGAUCUGUUGUUGCCCUUGGCAGAGUUUGUGUACAACAACAGCUACCACUCCAUUAUUUAGAUGGACCUAUUUGAGGCCUCAUAUUGUAGGCAUUGUCUCUCUUCAGUAUGUUAGUUUGAGUUUACGGAGCCUAGGCAGUGCGAUACAGACUUAAUGUAGGAGGCCUUAGAUCAUGUGAGGGUGAUUCAGGGUAGGCUCAAGACAGCUCAGAGUAGACACCAGAACUAUGCGGAUUAUAGGCGUCGGCCUUUGAGGUUUGCCAUUGGGGACCGAGUAUUCCUCCAUGUAUCACCCAUGAAGGGCGUGAUGAGGUUUGGGAGGUUGGAAAAGCUUAGCCCCAGGUAUGUUGGCCCUUCGACAUAUUGAUCCCUUUUGAGAUAUUGAGGACAGUUAGCGAGGUUGCAUAUAAGAUAUCUCUUCCUCCUGCCUUUUUAGCUAUUCAUCCAUUUUUUCAUUCUUUGAUGUUGUGCCAGUAUGUUCCAGAUGAGUCCCAUGUGUUUUAUUAUGACGCAGUUGACCUGGAUGAUCGUUUGAGCUAUAUUGAGGAGCUAGUUGCUAUUUUGGCCAAAGAUGUCAGGCAGUUGUGUUCCAGAGCCAUUCUUGCGGUUAAGGUCCAUUGGAGAUAUCAUCCAGUCGAGGAGGCUAGCUGGGUGACCGAGCAUGAGAUGCGGGCACAGUUCUUUGGCUUAUUUGAGACUUCAGAUCUGAGUACUAGCUAUCGGGGUUGAUUCGAGCCAACUACGGUCGUGAUCGGAGGCUAGGGUGAGCACAUUAUGUCCUUUAUUUACAUGUCUCCCUCUGUAUAUACAUUUUUCUUGUCUGUUGCUUUCUGAGACAGCUCUGUUUUUCUGGUCCGCUUUUGGGACUUGUACUCUUUUUACUAGUAGCUCUGUACAUAUGACUUCCAGGUUCUGGGAGGGUUUUUUUCUUUAUAUAUAUUUAGUCGCUUCCGCCCGUUCAUGUAUACUCCUAUUAUUUCUUUGUUGUUUUAGAUUGAAUCGGUGGUCUUUUGUAAGCUAGAAAUAGUAAACAUGAAAUAUAA